rnacentral:rRNA from 1 species
AUUGAACGCUGGCGGAAUGCUUUACACAUGCAAGUCGAACGGUAGCACAGAGAGCUUGCUCUCGGGUGACGAGUGGCGGACGGGUGAGUAACGUCUGGGAAACUGCCCGAUGGAGGGGGAUAACUACUGGAAACGGUAGCUAAUACCGCAUAACGUCGCAAGACCAAAGUGGGGGACCUUCGGGCCUCACACCAUCGGAUGUGCCCAGAUGGGAUUAGCUAGUAGGUGGGGUAAUGGCUCACCUAGGCGACGAUCCCUAGCUGGUCUGAGAGGAUGACCAGCCACACUGGAACUGAGAAACGGUCCAGACUCCUACGGGAGGCAGCAGUGGGGAAUAUUGCACAAUGGGCGCAAGCCUGAUGCAGCCAUGCCGCGUGUAUGAAGAAGGCCUUCGGGUUGUAAAGUACUUUCAGCGGGGAGGAAGGCGGUGAAGUUAAUAACUUCACCGAUUGACGUUACCCGCAGAAGAAGCACCGGCUAACUCCGUGCCAGCCGCCGCCGUAA